CUGUGUAGAUUUUGUUCGUGGUUUCUAGAGAAAGCAGAGUCGAAACAGAGAGAGAGAGAGAGAGAGAGAGCGAAAGAGAUCAGAGAGACUGAUGAUUCCGUUUUGUAUUGAAAAGGAAGAAGAUCUGCGUCUUGGAGCUCUGCCGUCUAAAUCAACCCAAAGAGGUAUUGUUCGGUUUUGCUGUGAGGAGGAAGAGGACCUGCGUUUUGAGCCAAGGAGAAGAUGAGGGAUUUGGGUAUAGGGUUGUGAUCGAUACUUAGUUUUUGGGGUAAGUUCAGAGAUUAGUUCAGCACCAACCAACUCAGUAUCUGACAUCUGAAAAGUUAAGCAUUUGGAAAAUCAAGUUCAAGCUUUUAAUUUGGGCGGGCAUCAUGUAGUAAUGGACACCUGUACGGAAGAUGCAGUAAGAUAUUCUAUAUAUAUAUAUUAAAGGAGAUCGCCUGAUCUACUGAAAGUCCAAAGUCACGGUAGCAAGACAACGGGAAACAACCUCUUCCUCCUUGAUCUACAAAGUAUGAGGUUUUUGGAGUAUGAAUCACGGUGGAUUUGCCGUAGAACUUAUGGGUCUGUCUCCUCGAGCAACAGAGAGGGAUGUCUAUGAUUCUUCAUUUUUUCUCCUUCUCUUGCUCAAUUGAGAGCAUUGAAAUGGUCAGAUCCAGUGAAUGUGCAUGUACUGCCUAUGUGACGUCCAAGGAUCCGUACUCUCAUGAGACUGCUUGCUUGCUCAGUGCGAGUCUUUCCUCAACUCUUUGCCCUUUAUUAACAAAUGUUAAUGUCACUGGGGAAGCCAAAGUUAUUUUGUCAUUGCUUUAAUGCAUGUUGCUAUGUUUUAAUACUUCAAACUGUUUUAGUAGCUGAUAAUUUGGAGGAAAGGGAAAGCAGAUAUGUAGUGAUUAAUAUGUUUGCUUUGGUCAGCUUCAAAUGCUGAAUGAGAAAUAAUUAUAGUUAUCACAAAUUGAUUGUAAGUCUACCAUUGGUCAUUUUUAUGGCAUAAGAAAAGAUGUUGCUUUCAUUGGA